rnacentral:rRNA from 1 species
AGCGAACGUUUGCGGCGGGCUUAACACAUGCAAGUCGAACGAGAAUCCCUUCGGGGAGGAAAGUGGCGCACGGGUGCGUAACACGUGGAUAACCAACCCAUUGGUUUGGGACAACACCGGGAAACUGGUGCUAAUACCAGAUGUGUCGCAGCUGUCUUCAGGCGGUUGCGAGAAAGGCCCGCAAGGGUCGCCAACGGACGGGUCCGCGUCCCAUCAGCUAGUUGGUGAGGUAAUGGCUCACCAAGGCAAAGACGCCUAGCUGGUCUGAGAGGAUGAUCAGCCACACUGGGACUGAGACACGGCCCAGACUCCUACGGGAGGCAGCAGUGGGGAAUAUUGGACAAUGGGCGCAAGCCUGAUCCAGCCACGCCGCGUGAGUGAUGAAGGCCUCGGUCGUAAGACGUCUGUGGGAGGGACGGAAGUGGCGCCGUGAAGAGCGGCGAGUGACGGUACC